GGAGAAGAGCGAGGAGAUCUCAGUGGUGUGCCUGCAGCCACCUGCAACAGCAGCCAGCAGCAUCAAGCACAGAGGAGAGGACAGCAAGGAGAUGUUCAAAGCCAGCAGAUGCUCUGAAAAACACAGCCGUGCAAGCAGCAAUUCUAGCAAUCAUAUUGCUGCUCAGUCAGUGUCUGCUGCCACGGAGUCAUCAGUGUUUGCUGCUAACGAGCUAAGCCACGGUGUUAUUGCACUCUGUACUCACAUCCCCAGACCAUCCAUCAUCCAUGUGCCAAAGGAAGAAGAUGAUGAAGAAGAAGAAGAGGAGUCACAGAAGGAGAUGGAUUUGCCAGUCUUGGAGAAUGAAACCUUACCAGGUAUAAGUGACAUGUGGAGCUUGUAUCCACUCUAGUGCAAAUUAAAACCUGUCUUUUCUAAAUUGGCCUGAGCUGG
rnacentral:lncRNA from 1 species